AACGCGAAGAACCUUACCAGGGUUUGACAUCCCGUGCCAUGCUCAGAGAUGGGCAGUCCCCGCAAGGGGCGCGGAGACAGGUGCUGCAUGGCUGUCGUCAGCUCGUGUCGUGAGAUGUUGGGUUAAGUCCCGCAACGAGCGCAACCCUCGCCUUUAGUUGCCAUCAUUAAGUUGGGCACUCUAGAGGGACCGCCGGCGACAAGCCGGAGGAAGGUGGGGAUGACGUCAAGUCCUCAUGGCCCUUACACCCUGGGCUACACACGUGCUACAAUGGCGGUGACAGUGGGCAGCCAACUCGCGAGAGUGAGCUAAUCCCAAAAAACCGUCCCAGUUCAGAUUGCACUCUGCAACUCGGGUGCAUGAAGGUGGAAUCGCUAGUAAUCGCAGAACAGCAGGCUGCGGUGAAUACGUUCCCGGGCCUUGUACACACCGGCUAC
rnacentral:rRNA from 1 species